GGCGUGGGCCAAGGCCGUGGCGUCCAUGGCGGCGGCCGGCAACAACAGCUCGUCCUCCUCGCCGUCGCCAUAUUUUUCCUAGGGGCAACUUAGGUAGAUACUGUACUUCCGAUUGUAUGUAUAGUUUUUCUUGCAAGUUCUUUCUUUCUUCUGUUUUCUUUGUGUAUACGAAUAUAUGCUCAAGAGCUAUAAUAUAACCUUGCAGUUCCAAUCA
rnacentral:lncRNA from 1 species